rnacentral:rRNA from 1 species
CCUACGGGAGGCAGCAGUGAGGAAUAUUGGACAAUGGCCGGAAGGCUGAACCAGCAAAGCCGCGUGAAGGAAGAAGGAUCUAUGGUUUGUAAACUUCUUUUAUAGGGAAAUAAAGGUAUCCACGUGUGGAUAUUUGCAUGUACCCUAUGAAUAAGCAUCGGCUAACUCCGUGCCAGCAGCCGCGGUAAUACGGAGGAGGCGAGCGUUAUCCGGAUUUAGUGGGCUUAAGGGGUGCGUAGGUUGUUUUUUAAGUCAGCGGUGAAAGUUUGUGGCUCAACCAUAAAAUUGCCGUUGAAACUGGAAGACUAGAGUGUGUUUGAGGUAGGCGGAAUGCUUGGUGUAGCGGGGAAAUGCAUAGAUAUCACGCAGAACUCCGAUUGCGAAGGCAGCUCACUAAGCCAUAACUGACACUGAAGCACGAAAGCGUGGGGAUCAAACAGGAUUAGAUACCCGUGUAGUC